ACCACUGAGCCAUCUCACCAGCCCAGGAGUUAUUUCUUAUAUAUUUAAAAAAGCUUAAGCCUGGGGGCUAAAGUGAUUGAUGGCUCAGUGGUUAAGAGUACUGGUUGGGGGGCUGGAGAGAUGGCUCAGUGGU
rnacentral:pre_miRNA from 1 species